UACGGGAGGCAGCAGUGGGGAAUAUUGCACAAUGGGCGCAAGCCUGAUGCAGCCAUGCCGCGUGUAUGAAAAAGGCCUUCGGGUUGUAAAGUACUUUCAGUCGUGAGGAAGGUGUUAAGGUUAAUAACCUUAGCAAUUGACGUUAGCGACAGAAGAAGCACCGGCUAACUCCGUGCCAGCAGCCGCGGUAAUACGGAGGGUGCGAGCGUUAAUCGGAAUUACUGGGCGUAAAGGGCACGCAGGCGGUUAAUUAAGUUGGAUGUGAAAUCCCCGGGCUUAAACCUGGGAAUGGCAUUCAAGACUGGUUAGCUAGAGUCUUGUAGAGGGGGUAGAAUUCCAUGUGUAGCGGUGAAAUGCGUAGAGAUGUGGAGGAAUACCGGUGGCGAAGGCGGCCCCUGGACAAAAGACUGACGCUCAUGUGCGAAAGCGUGGGGAGCAAAACAGGGAUUAGAUAACC
rnacentral:rRNA from 1 species